GGCCGCGGUGCCCGUGGCUGCGGGGGCCGCGUCCCCACCGGGGUUUCCUGCGACGUGGGCGGCGGGCGCCGGGGCCGCGGCCUGGGGCGCACCGCUGCCCACCGGGCUCUUGGGCGCGGGGUCCUGGGGAGCCGCGGCGGCCGCCUCCGUCGGAGCCUGCGGGAGGGUGGUGGUGGUGGUGGUGGUGGCCUCGCCCGCCUCACUCAUGCCUCCUCCUCCUCUGCUCUCGCUCAGGCGCCUCGGUGGCGGUUGGUCGGCGGUUAGCGCGGCUGGUGGUCGCGGC
rnacentral:lncRNA from 1 species